UACGUAGGGUGCGAGCGUUGUCCGGAAUUAUUGGGCGUAAAGAGCUCGUAGGCGGUGUGUCACGUCGGCCGUGAAAACCUGCAGCUUAACUGUGGGCGUGCGGUCGAUACGGGCAUCACUGGAGUUCGGCAGGGGAGACUGGAAUUCCUGGUGUAGCGGUGAAAUGCGCAGAUAUCAGGAGGAGCACCGAUGGCGAAGGCAGAUCUCUGGGCCGUAACUGACGCUGAGGAGCGAAAGCGUGGGGAGCGAACAGG
rnacentral:rRNA from 1 species